rnacentral:miRNA from 1 species
UAGCAGCACAUAAAUAUUGGCA